GAAACAAUAAAAAGUCCCCUCAAACAGAAAACAACCACCUAUUUUCUUUUGGAAAGUGAUGCACCAGAGGUUAUUCAUAAAUCAAAUAUAUAAAAGAAACACUUCUCAGGGCCCAGAAUAAGCAUGUCUAAAAUUGUAAGCAUUUUGUUGAAAUCAGGCUCACUAAGUUUCUACAGGAAAAGAUAAACUGAGGAUCAAGAAGUGAAACCCAAGCUGAAGCCUUUCAACUCACUGGGAAGAGGCUGGUACUUGCUUAAGAUCUGAAGAUCAUGAAUUGUAUUGCACUGGCAGUCUUCAUGGAUGUGGUUAGCAGAUGACUGUGAUGCCUGGAUUCUUUGUAUAUAGGGUCACAGAUCAUUAAGCAUCACUUCAAUUAACAUCUGCUUCUGUCUUUCAACAAUAAUGUAUGUGAGCCAAUGUAAUGUCUUAACAGAGGAAAGGUAACAAAUUUAUCAGCCCCACUCUGCAGGCAAAUUUACACACAUACACACAGGAGGCUGCACAUUAUGUAAUCAUCACUAGAGAGAUUUUCUCUUCAAUGGUACAUAAAAUAAAAAGACUGAAUGAGGACUUAGAAAUAGUAGAACCUACUUUCUCUAGAGCCUACUAAUACUACCUGCAUGUAUCGCUUUUACUUCUCUCAUGUCCUAUUGCUUACUUUUCAUAGAUAGUUCUCAGCUAUGGCACAACCUCUAAUUCAGCUAAGGCAUGACCUCCAAUGUAAUCUCCACAUCUCCACUAUGUCUGUGUCACAUGGUUCUGUUUUAGACAUUCUUUUCUUUUUACUGACCUUCUGGUCAAAAUCCAUCUAUGACCCUUUUCUUGACAUAACACAUUCAGACUUUCGUGUGAUUCAAAUUACUCAUAUUAUAAGCUAACACAGACUUUCAGUCAUUAUUUGUUACUGCUACACUACACACAUUCUCCUUUAUCCAAAUAUGUGGGCAAGUGUUGCACAGCAAUACUCAGGGCACAAAAUUCAACAAACCUGUGGUUUUAACAUUAGUCUUAUCUCUUACAUUGCAUUUUUUAAACAAUUAAAAUUUGAGUGUCUACUUCAUUGGGGAAAACACCCCUCUAAAUAGAUAAUUCAGCAAUGAAGGUAAAGUUCCUUCAUGGAGCUUGAGAUGUUCUGUGAAUAAGGCUGGCAGUAAUAGUAACAAUAGUAGCAAAUCCUUCCAGCUAUUAGCUUCCUACCAUUUUCUUUACUUAAGUCCAAUGCUUUGGUUAAAUGAUGUUAGUAUUCUUAUGAGUUUUUAAAUGAUUAUUACUCAGACAAUUUUACAAUCAAAUUAUUUGUAUCAUGAGUGUUUUAAACUGUCUUGUUUUAUACUCCCUUUCAAGAUUUGAAGCUUCUAGAAGUGAAUCCCUUUAUGUUAUAUUUGUUGUCAGGUUUCUGCUCUGGUAGUAACUGAAAAAUUCAAAGAGAAUUUGAUGUGGAUCUUUUGGUAAAUUUACCUACUGAUACUAUGGAGUCAGUGCCAUAUCUCUAAGGAAUACAGCUUUGUGACUAUAUUAAAUGAGCUUCAAUAUUUUUAUGUGAACUUCCACUAUUAGCCUGAGGUCACCUUUAAGUUUAACAAAGGUAAAUAGCAAUUACUAGUUGGUGAAAAGCCGUCUCAAAACAGCCAAGACUUCACUUUAAUUUCAGCUAAAUCUGAUACAUGAUACACAUCCUCUUUGAGUUGAAUCAUAGCACCAAGUUAUUUUUAUCCACUCAAUUUUGUGUUGGAAACAUGUUAAUCCCCAUAUAGCCAUAUAGUUCUGAAUGUUAUAUUACUAUCCCCAAUUUACAGAUAACUACAACAUUAAAGCUCAGACAAUAUGAACGUACAUUACCAAUGUUACAAUAUGGUGUAACCUUACCAACAUCUAAAUAUAUUCAUUGUCACUUUAAAGAAAUUAUCUUGGUAUUCCAGCAUCUUAAAUUUUAGGAUACUUAUCUAAAUGUAAAUAGUUAUUUUUAUAGAUGGAAAUAUUUGUAAAUAUGCACUCCUCUGUUCUUCCUUUGGGAUGCAGUAUAAUCUGUGAUUAAAUUGGAUUUGUUCAUGUGAGUUUGAUAGUGGAAUAUAAGAAAAUAUUUUGUGAGUGGAGCCUUCAAAUGCGUUAUAUAGUUUCACUGGACUUUACCUUUCUGCUGUGUAUGCUCUGGCUGAACACCUAUCUAUUGAGUGUGAAGGAGUCAAGCCCAGCCUAAUCACAUCUUGAAGCACAGCUUAUAGAGCCAAACUAUAGUGGCCAAUAGACCCAUGAACUUAAGAAUUAAGAGUUUGUUUGUGAGUUUGAGUAUGGUUUGAUAGGGAGCAUUAGCUUAGUAAUAGCAGAAAAAUCUUCCAAUAAUUAGAUGAGCUAAGAUUUGAAAUCAAAUCUGUGAACGUCUACAGAUUUCCGACCAUACUACACUUCAUUAGUCAAAAUAUACAAAGAAGAACUGCAUUUAGACACUUAUUAAAAAUCCACAGCCCAUAUGAUUUCAUAUUGAUUAAAAUAACACUCUGCUUUCCUUACAUUGCUGCGAGAACAUAUUGCUAUGAAAAGCCCUCUGAUUGUCAAAAUGAACCUCAUUAGAAAUACUUUCUUAAUGUCUGCAAAUCCAUAUUUUUCCAUUUGUAUAGAUAGGACAUCCAAACUACAAAAUUUUUUGCUUUAAAUGUCUGCUCUCACAUAUGUAUACUACCUAAGCAAGUCCCACAUGAGAUGGAUUCAUUACCACAAGACAGUUGUAAAUAAAACACAAAGAUGAAGAACUUAUUAUGUAUUCACCAAUGAUAAACAGCAAUUUUUCAGAGGUAGAGGGUAAGCUACUUACUUUAGAAAGUCACAUCAAACUGUAGAGUGGGUGAUUAACAAAAUGUUAAUUGCCAAAUAUGGUAGGUAAUUGAAAAUGUGAUAAUUGACAUGUAAUUUUGGUUAUUAACACAUCACUCACUGCUUCUAAUAUUUGUAUGGCCUUCUUGUGAAAAUCGUGCCUUCCUAGAAUAGAACUCUAGCAAAAUUGAACCAAAUGGAAUCAGAGGUAUCUGGUUAGCUGAUGCUCACUAGUAGUUCCUAAUUGGCAUUUUGUACUUCCAAUAUUUCAGCAUGUUCAUUGUCACUUUAAAAAAUUAUUUUGGUAUUCCCUCAUGUUAAAUAGCAGGAGACUUAUCUAGCAAAUAAGACUUAUCUGAAAACUAUUGGGUUUCAAUGUCUGAAGUAUCACAUACUGUAAAUUCCUGUUAAUUACCUCUUCUCUUUCCAUAAGUGCUAGCAUGAAUACUGAUUGUGGGAGUUACCUGCAAAGAUGACAACAAUUUUACAUAUUCCCCACCAUGUAAAUACAACUUCCCACCAAUGGUGAAAUCUAUUGCCCCUUGGAAUUGCUUUGAUCAACAGAAUGUGCCAGAAGGGAUACUUUGCUAGUUUCAAGUCUAGGUCUUAAGAAAGUUGGUUGCAUUAUUCUUUUUGCCCUCUUGGCAUUCAGCUUCACUGCAGAAGUGGGGUUCAAUGUCGUAAUUAUGGAGGACCACAUGUACAGAGUCUCAGCCAUUCCCGAACCUCAUGCAUCUACUCUGAGGUCCCAAACAUGAGAGUGGAGUCAUCUAGAAUCCACACUUCCUUCCUCAGAUCUUGAUCCCAUAAGAACCCUGCUCAGAUGGCAGAAAAAGAAGAAAUAUGGCAAUGUUUUGACAUGGAAGAAUAUAUUAACAGUGAUGUAAGAUACAAGAAAGAGACUUCACAAUAUUUAAAAAUAAUUUCUAUGUAUGACCUCAGUUCUAAUAAAAUGAUUUCACCAAUUUCUCCUUUUUAA